rnacentral:misc_RNA from 1 species
CUGACUCUGAAAUCGAGAAAUUUAGAUUUAUGCCAUUAUAAAAACUAGGUUUUGCUCGUCCCUAAGAUUUUUCUAGCUGUUUACAUUCAGAUUCAGGUCAUGUUGCCAAAGUACCCCUGUCAUCCUUGGCCUUUGGUUAUGUACAUGAAAGGAUCAUUAUUAUAACUCUACUCUCAGAACCUUUGCUGCCCCAACGCCAUUUUUUUGUACCAGGAAGAGGAAACCCUUCGCCCUUACACUUGCACCCUGCAUUUCUUCGCACUCUACAACACUCCAUUUUUACAUAACGCCCGAGCUAGUGGUGAUUUACAGAGAUACCAUGCUGGCCACUGCAUGUUGCUCGCUUAUCAGCAUUCAGCAGCAGGGGAAGCUUGAGAACAAGCCGCCCUUUCGUCCUGCUCCCGGAACCGGAGUCGCCUCCGGGUUGCUGCUCGUCUGCGGCUGCGCCUCUGCCGUCUGCCCUCGCUUCAGCUUCUGCCGGUGUUGGCACGGCCUUGUUGGCCGCCUCCGCCGAUGCCGCUGCUGGCUCCGGCUGGAGGUCCUGCUGAGACGGCUCCUUGGAGUAGUUCAUCUUGUCCUCUACCAAGCUGCGCCGCAUUAAAGUCGGUCGAGAAGAUUCAGCUUUUAAACAACAAGAACGUAUCGUAUGGAACGAGAUGGUGGCGGCGGCGGUACGCAGCGCGUAGUACUUUGGGAAGGCGAAGGAGUAGCUUCCCACUUUCCCUUCAUGGCGCCCUCGUGGAGCUCCGGGAUGCUCUCGAAGGGCGGCGAGAUGACAGGGGCGUCCUUGGCCUUUGCGUCGGCGUCGGUGUUGGCGCCGGCUGCCAGAAUGGCUGCACCGACGGCGAUCGGCGACUGCCGGCGAACUCGCUCUCUCUUUCUCUCCUCAGGUACGCGAAUACUGAAAAAGCAGAAAGCG